rnacentral:rRNA from 1 species
GCAGCAGCCGCGGGAAAACGAAGGGUGCAAGCGUUACUCGGAAUUACUGGGCGUAAAGCGUGCGUAGGUGGUGGUUUAAGUCCGUUGUGAGAGCCCUGGGCUCAACCUGGGAAUUGCAGUGGAUACUGGGUCACUAGAGUGUGGUAGAGGAUAGUGGAAUUUCCGGUGUAGCGGUGAAAUGCGUAGAGAUCGGGAGGAACAUCAGUGGCGAAGGCGGCCAUCUGGGACAACACUGACGCUGAGGCACGAAAGCGUGGGGAGCAAACAGGAUUAGAUACCCCCGUAGUCCCUGUCUCUUAUAC